AUUGAACGCUGGCGGCAUGCCUAACACAUGCAAGUCGAGCGAGCGGCGGACGGGGGAGUAAUGUCUGGGAAACUGCCUGAUGGAGGGGGAUAACUACUGGAAACGGUUGCUAAUACGGCAUACCAUCAGAUGUGCCCAGUUGGGAUUAGCUAGUAGGUGGGGUAACGGCUCACCUGGGCGACGAUCCCCAGCUGGUCUGCGAGGAUGACCGGCCACACUGGAACUGAGACACGGUCCAGACUCCUACGGGAGGCAGCAGUGGGGAAUAUUGGGCAAUGGACGAAAGCCUGAUGCAGCAAUGCCGCGUGUGUGAAGAAGGCCUUCGGGUUGUAAAGCACUUUCAGCGGAGAGGCGUUACCCGCAGAAGAAGCACCGGCUAACUCCGUGCCAGCAGCCGCGGUAAUAC
rnacentral:rRNA from 1 species